rnacentral:rRNA from 1 species
CGGUAGUUAUCGAGUUUGAACGACGUCUGCGGGUCAAUUCUUAGUUCCGGAGAGGUUCAGGUUUGUUGUACAAGUGGUUCCUGCACGGAGAUGACUUUUGAUGUAGUGGAUGGGCAGGUUGGAUACAAGGUGGUGGUCCACCGAGUCGUAGCGGAAGACUGCUACACUACGUAUGAUUUCUACACGGACCUGGCUUUUUAAGACUGCGGCCCUUCUUUCAACACUGUGGUGUAUUGCGUGGACGUGUCGGCCGUCUCCGUAGAAGAUGACCACGUCGUCGAUUUCGAUGUUCAGUAAGGUGUGGCGGCGACUUCCAUAGUUCGUCGUGUUUUGUUUUGUUCGGUUGGAUCCGUUCCAAGGUUUAAUAAGAGUCGCCACUUAAGUCCUAAGUGUAUAUAUAAAAUUAGGAGAGUACACCUACCUAGUUCUUCUUCUUGCUCCACUAUGCAUAUGACUUCUGUGAUUAUCACACAUUCUUCAAUUCUCCACCUUGUCUUUAUACAUAGUUAGAUAACGUACAAAUAUCAAACAUGAAGGAAACCACCUAAACAAGUGACUGAAUUCAACCAUACAACCAUAACAUAACUAAAGUGUACAUAAUUAUUUAAACCUAACAUGAU